UACGAAGGGUGCAAGCGUUAAUCGGAAUUACUGGGCGUAAAGCGCGUGUAGGCUGCUCUGCAAGUCGGGUGUGAAAGCCCCGGGCUCAACCUGGGAAGUGCACUCGAAACUGCAGAGCUCGAGUCCUGGAGAGGAAGGCGGAAUUCUCGGUGUAGAGGUGAAAUUCGUAGAUAUCGAGAGGAACACCGGUGGCGAAGGCGGCCUUCUGGACAGUGACUGACGCUGAGACGCGAAAGCGUGGGGAGCAAACAGG
rnacentral:rRNA from 1 species